UUACGGCCAUAUCAAUUAGAAAAACAGAUUUCCGUACGAUCAGCGAAGUUAAGCAACUUUCAGCCUGGUUAGUACCUAGAUGGGCAACCGCUUGGGGAUACCAGUUGCAGUA